rnacentral:rRNA from 1 species
AUUGAACGCUGGCGGCAGGCCUAACACAUGCAAGUCGAGCGGAUGAAGGGAGCUUGCUCCUGGAUUCAGCGGCGGACGGGUGAGUAAUGCCUAGGAAUCUGCCUGGUAGUGGGGGAUAACGUCCGGAAACGGGCGCUAAUACCGCAUACGUCCUGAGGGAGAAAGUGGGGGAUCUUCGGACCUCACGCUAUCAGAUGAGCCUAGGUCGGAUUAGCUAGUUGGUGGGGUAAAGGCCUACCAAGGCGACGAUCCGUAACUGGUCUGAGAGGAUGAUCAGUCACACUGGAACGUAGACACGGUCCAGACUCCUACGGGAGGCAGCAGUGGGGAAUAUUGGACAAUGGGCGAAAGCCUGAUCCAGCCAUGCCGCGUGUGUGAAGAAGGUCUUCGGAUUGUAAAGCACUUUAAGUUGGGAGGAAGGGCAGUAAGUUAAUACCUUGCUGUUUUGACGUUACCAACAGAAUGAGCACCGGCUAACUUCGUG